rnacentral:rRNA from 1 species
AGCGAACGCUGGCGGCAGGCUUAACACAUGCAAGUCGAGCGGGCGUAGCAAUACGUCAGCGGCAGACGGGUGAGUAACGCGUGGGAACGUACCUUUUGGUUCGGAACAACUGAGGGAAACUUCAGCUAAUACCGGAUAAGCCCUAACGGGGAAAGAUUUAUCGCCGAAAGAUCGGCCCGCGUCUGAUUAGCUAGUUGGUGAGGUAACGGCUCACCAAGGCGACGAUCAGUAGCUGGUCUGAGAGGAUGAUCAGCCACACUGGGACUGAGACACGGCCCAGACUCCUACGGGAGGCAGCAGUGGGGAAUAUUGGACAAUGGGGGCAACCCUGAUCCAGCCAUGCCGCGUGAGUGAUGAAGGCCCUAGGGUUGUAAAGCUCUUUUGUGCGGGAAGAUAAUGACGGUACCGCAAGAAUAAGCCCCGGCUAACUUCGUGCCAGCAGCCGCGGUAAUACGAAGGGGGCUAGCGUUGCUCGGAAUCACUGGGCGUAAAGGGUGCGUAGGCGGGUCUUUAAGUCAGAGGUGAAAUCCUGGAGCUCAACUCCAGAACUGCCUUUGAUACUGAGGAUCCUGAGUCCGGAAGAGGUGAGUGGAACUGCGAGUGUAGAGGUGAAAUUCGUAGAUAUUCGCAAGAACACCAGUGGCGAAGGCGGCUCACUGGUCCGGUACUGACGCUGAGGCACGAAAGC